rnacentral:rRNA from 1 species
GAUGAACGCUGGCGGCGUGCCUAAUACAUGCAAGUCGAGCGAACGGACGAGAAGCUUGCUUCUCUGAUGUUAGCGGCGGACGGGUGAGUAACACGUGGAUAACCUACCUAUAAGACUGGGAUAACUUCGGGAAACCGGAGCUAAUACCGGAUAAUAUUUUGAACCGCAUGGUUCAAAAGUGAAAGACGGUCUUGCUGUCACUUAUAGAUGGAUCCGCGCUGCAUUAGCUAGUUGGUAAGGUAACGGCUUACCAAGGCAACGAUGCAUAGCCGACCUGAGAGGGUGAUCGGCCACACUGGAACUGAGACACGGUCCAGACUCCUACGGGAGGCAGCAGUAGGGAAUCUUCCGCAAUGGGCGAAAGCCUGACGGAGCAACCCCGCGUGAGUGAUGAAGGUCUUCGGAUCGUAAAACUCUGUUAUUAGGGAAGAACAUAUGUGUAAGUAACUGUGCACAUCUUGACGGUACCUAAUCAGAAAGCCACGGCUAACUACGUGCCAGCAGCCGCGGUAAUACGUAUGUGGCAAGCGUUAUCCGGAAUUAUUGGGGGUAAAGCGCGCGUAGGCGGUUUUUUAAGUCUGAUGUGAAAGCCCACGGCUCAACCGUGGAGGGUCAUUGGAAACUGGAAAACUUGAGUGCAGAAGAGGAAAGUGGAAUUCCAUGUGUAGCGGUGAAAUGCGCAGAGAUAUGGAGGAACACCAGUGGCGAAGGCGACUUUCUGGUCUGUAACUGACGCUGAUGUGCGAAAGCGUGGGGAUCAAACAGGAUUAGAUACCCUGGUAGUCCACGCCGUAAACGAUGAGUGCUAAGUGUUAGGGGGUUUCCGCCCCUUAGUGCUGCAGCUAACGCAUUAAGCACUCCGCCUGGGGAGUACGACCGCAAGGUUGAAACUCAAAGGAAUUGACGGGGACCCGCACAAGCGGUGGAGCAUGUGGUUUAAUUCGAAGCAACGCGAAGAACCUUACCAAAUCUUGACAUCCUUUGACAACUCUAGAGAUAGAGCCUUCCCCUUCGGGGGACAAAGUGACAGGUGGUGCAUGGUUGUCGUCAGCUCGUGUCGUGAGAUGUUGGGUUAAGUCCCGCAACGAGCGCAACCCUUAAGCUUAGUUGCCAUCAUUAAGUUGGGCACUCUAAGUUGACUGCCGGUGACAAACCGGAGGAAGGUGGGGAUGACGUCAAAUCAUCAUGCCCCUUAUGAUUUGGGCUACACACGUGCUACAAUGGACAAUACAAAGGGCAGCGAAACCGCGAGGUCAAGCAAAUCCCAUAAAGUUGUUCUCAGUUCGGAUUGUAGUCUGCAACUCGACUACAUGAAGCUGGAAUCGCUAGUAAUCGUAGAUCAGCAUGCUACGGUGAAUACGUUCCCGGGUCU